AUUUUGUGUCUUCUUGGUGGUCAUUCUGUCCCUCCUGGACAGCCUCAUGCCUGACUGGACACUGAAAAAGAGGUGAAGAGAUAAGAGGCGAUAGAACAAAAGAACAGAAAGAUAAUGAAGCUGAGACUAAACAGGUUUCUAAGACAGCCACCGAUGGGUCCUACCUCCUCGUAUUCACAUCCUAUGUAAUCUCCUCCCCAGUGUGGGCUGGACCUGGUGACUUGCUUCCAGUGAAUAGAAUACAGCAAAAGUGAUUGAUGUCACCUCCAAGAUUCAGCUAUAGAAGACUAUGACUAUGACUUCCCUCUUGGCUAGCAUUCUCACUAACCCUUCCUGCUUGCUUGUACUGAGCUGCCCUAUGAAGAGGCCCAUGUAGGGUGGCCUGGGUGGGGGUGAUCUGUGGCCAACAGCCAGCAAGGAACUAAAUCCUGUUUACAACCACAUGAGCUUGGAAGGAGAUCCUUCCCCAGUAAAGCCAGGAGAUGAAUACAGCCCCAGCCUCCAGCUUCAUUGCAGCAUCGUGAGACACCCACAAGGAGGACUCAGCUAAGCCACAGCCAGAAUUCUGUCCCACAGAACUUCAAGACAACUAGUGCUGUUGCUUUUCAGCUGCAGAGUUUUGACAUAAUUUGUUGUAUAGCAAUAGCCAGCUAGUUAUCAAUAACCACUAUUGC
rnacentral:lncRNA from 1 species